ACUCAACACCGCAAGAUUUCAAAAGGGAAAUUCCUCCAGGGCUGAGUCACAGGGAAGAAAGCGAUUUCCUCCGCCUCUUCCAAAGCGGUAGGUUUCCUUCCUCCGCCUGCCUCUUAAAUAACGUGGUAUCUCGCAGUUUGGCUGAAACCUGAAUUAAAUGCAAUGCUUUUUUGACUUUUACUUUCUCCCAGAACAACAGUUGUGAUAUGAUCUGUUUUGGGGCCCUUCCUGCGCUCCGCCCUGGGCCAGAGUAUGUAAAGCUCGUGGGUCUCUGUGUGUGUCUGAGCAGCUGCUCUGCCAAGACUCCACACAGCUGUGUGUGUGUCGGACCCAAGGCCUUGGUGGCAUGGGCUCAUGAGGGAAUCUCCUGAUCCACCAGUCGCAAAGAUCCAUGGGAGAAGCAUGGUUUCCUGAGGUCGCACCAUCACUCACUUCUUCCCUUGGCUGGGAGUGGGGGUUCCUUUGGCUCUGUGUCGCUCCCAGGGGGGCUGUCGCCCCAUCCAGCUUUUCUUUGUUCUCUGUGGGUCGAGUUGUUUUCCUGAUGAGUCCCAAUGCAAGUACCUGGAUAUUUCAGUUGAAGAUGCUGUAUUCACUUGCCUCUUUUGUUCCUCUCUGUGAGUGCUGUGGACCAUAGCUGUUUCUAAUCAGCCAUCUUGGCCUGGCAAUCUACAGUAGUAAAUGUUAACAUUGGAUAGUGUGAUUCUUCCUACUUUACUAUUCUUUUUAAAUAUUGUUUUAGCAAUUUUUGUUCUUUUGACUUUACAUAUAGAUUUUAGGACCAGUUUGUCUAUAUCUACAAAAGGAAGCUUUUGAUAGGAAAUGUGUUAAACCUAUAGACCGAUUUGAAGAGAAUUGACAUCUUUGUUGUCUUCCAGUUAAAUGACACUGCAUGUCUCUCCGUUUGUUUAGAUCUAUUUUUAUUUUUUCAUCAGCAUUUUGUAGUUUUCAGCCUGCUGAUUCUGUACAUAUUUUGUUAGAUUUAUACUUAAAUAUUUAAUUUUCUUUGGAGUGGUUGUAAAUAGUACUGUGCUUCAGUUUUGGCUUCCUACUUUUUAUUGCUAGCAUAGAGGAAUACAAUUGAUUACUAUUCUGUAACAUUGCUAAAAAUGUGUUUGAAGUUUCCUCGGAGUAUUAUCUCUGGAUAUAAGCUUCUGGGCUGAUAGGUCUUAUUUUUUAGCAGUUGAAAAAUGUUGUGCUACUUUCUUCCUGUUUUGGGUUUUUUGGUGAGAAAUCCACUGUAAUUCUAAUUGUUGUUCUCCUAUAAAUAAUGCUUUUUCUUUCAGCAUGUUUUCAAGAUUUUUUUAAGUUUUCAGAAAUUUGAUUAUGAUGUAUCUGAGCAUAGAUUUCUUUGAGUUUAUUAUAUUAGAAGUUGCUUUAGCUUUUUGAAUUACACAUUUAUGUCUUUCAUUAAGUUUGAGAAGUCUUCAAUCAUUAUUUUGUUAAAAAGUUUUUUCAGACCAGCCUGGGCAACAUGACAAAACACUGUCUCUACAAAAAAAAUAAAAAAAAUUAGCUGGUCAUGGUGGCAUGUGUCAGUGGUCCCAGCUACUCGGGAGGCUAAGGCAGGAGGAUCACCUAAGCCUGGGAGUUUGAGGCUGCAGUGAGCUGUGAUCAUGCCACCGCACUCCAGCCUGUGUAACAGAGUGAGAGCCUGUCUCAAUUUUUUUUUUUUUUAGCACCCUAUGCCGUCUCCUUCUGUAAUUCCAGUCACAGGAAUGUUAGAGACUUUGUUAUUGUCCCACAGAUACUUGUUGCUCUGUUCGUUUUUUCUUUUCUUUCUUUCUUUUUUUUUUUUAUUAUACUUUAAGUUCUGGGUUACAUGUGCAGAAUGUACAUUUUUCUUACAUAGGUAUACAUGUGCCCUGGUGGUUUGUUGCACCCAUCAACCUGUCACCUAUAUUAGGUAUUUCUCCUAAUGUUAUCCCUCCCCUAACUCCCCACUCUCUGACAGGCCCCGGUGUGUGAUGUUCCCCUCCCUGUGUCCGUAUGUUCUCAUUGUUCAACUCCCACUUAUAAGCAAGAACAUGCGGUGUUUGGUUUUCUGAUCUUGUGAUAGUUUGCUGAAAAUGAUGGUUUCCAGCUUUAUCCAUGUUCCUGCAAAGGACACAAACUCAUCCUUUUUUAUGGCUGCAUAGUAUUCCAUGAUAUAUACGUGCCACAUUUUCUAAAUCCAGUCUAUCAUUGAUGGACAUUUGGGUUGGUUCCAAGUCUUUGCUACUGUGAAUAGUGCCACAAUAAACAUGUGUGCAUGUGUCUUUACUAUAGAAUGAUUUAUAAUCAUUUGGGUAUAUGCCCAGUAUUGGGAUUGCUGGGUCAAAUGGUAUUUCCAGUUCUAGAUCCUUGAGGAAUCGCCACACUGUCUUCCACAGUGGUUGAACUAAUUUACACUCCCACCAACAGUGUAAAAGCAUUCCUAUUUUUCCACAACCUCUCCAGCACCUGUUGUUUCCUGACUUUUUAAUGAUCGCCAUUCUAACUGGUGUGAGAUGGAAUCUCAUUGUGGUUUUGAUUUGCAUUUCUCUGGUGACCAGUGAUGAUGAGCAUUUUUUUCAUAUGUCUGUUGGCUGCAUAAAUGUCUUCUUUUGAGAAGUGUCUGUUCAUAUCCUUUGCCCACUUUUUGAUGGGUUUUUUCUUGUAAAUUUAAGUUCUUUGUAGAUUCUGGAUAUUAGCCCUUUGUCACAUGGAUAGACUGCAAAAAUUUUCUCCCAUUCUGUAGGUUGCCUGUUCACUCUGAUGAUACUUUCUUUUGCUGUGCAGAAGCUCUUUAGUUUAAUUAGAUCCCGUUUGUCAAUUUUGGCUUUUGUUGCCAUUGCUUUUAGUGUUUUGGACAUGAAGUCUUUGCCCAUGCCUCUGUCCUGAAUGGUAUUGCCCAGAUUUUCUUCUAGGAGUUUUAUGGUCCUAAGUCUUAUGUUGAAGUUUUUGAUCCAUUUUGAGUUGAUUUUUGUAAAAGGUGUAAGGAAGGGGCCCAGUUUCAGUUUUCUGCAUAUGGCUAGCCAGUUUUCCCAACACCAUUUACUAAAUUGGGAAUCUUUUCCCCAUUGCUUGUGUGUGUCAGGUUUGUCAAAGAUCAGAUGGUUGUAGCUGUGUGGUGUUAUUUCUGACGCCUCCGUUCUGUUCCAUUGGUCUAUAUAUCUGUUUUGGUACCAGUACUAUGCUGUUUUGGGUACUGUAGUCUUGUAGUAUAGUUUGAAAUCAGGUAGCAUGAUACCUCUAGCUUUGUUCUUCUUGCCCAGGAUUGUCUUGGCUACGCAGGCUCUUUUUUGGUUCCAUAUGAAGUUUAAAGUAGUUUUUUUCCAAUUCUGUGAAGAAAGUCAGUGGUAGCUUCAUGGGAAUAGCAUUGAAUUUAUAAAUUACUUUGGGCUGUGUAGCCAUUUUCAUGAUAUUGAUUCUUCCUAUCCAUGAACAUGGAAUGUUUUUCCAUUUGUUUGUGUCCUCUCUUAUUUCCUUGAGCAGUGGUUUGUAGUUCUACUUGAAGAGGUCCUUCACAUCCCUUGUAAGUUGUAUUCCUAGGUAUUUUAUUCUCUUAGUAGCAAUUGUGAAUGGGAGUUCACUCAUGAUUUGGCUCUCUGUCUAUUAUUGGUGUACAGGAAUGCUUGUGAUUUUUGCACAUUGAUUUUGUAUCCUGAGACUUUGCUGAAGUUGCUUAUCAGCUUAAGGAGGUUUUGGGCUGAGACGAUGGGGUUUUCUAAAUAUACAAUCAUGUCUUCUGCAAACAGAGAAAAUUUGAUUUCCUCUCUUCCUAUUUGAAUACUCUUUAUUGCUUUCUCUUGCCUGAUUGCCCUGGCCAGAACUUCCAAUACUAUGUUGAAUAGGAGUGGUGAGAGAGGGCAUCUUUGUCUUGUGCCGGUUUUCAAAGGGAAUGCUUCCAGUUUUUGCCCAUUCAGUAUGAUAUUGGCUGUGGGUUUGUCAUAAAUAGCUCUUGUUAUUUUGAGAUAUGUUCCGUCGAUACCUAGUUUAUUGAGAGUUUUUGGCAUGAAGGGGUGUUGAAUUUUAUCAAAGGCCUUUUCCGUAUCUAUUGAGAUAAUCAUGUGGUUUUUGUUAUUGGUUCUGUUUAUGUGAUGGAUUACAUUUAUUGAUUUGCGUAUGUUGAACCAGCCUCGCAUCCCAGGGAUGAAGCCAACUUGAUCGUGGUAGAUAAGCUUUUUUAUGUGCUGCUGCAUUCGGUUUGCCAGUAUUUUAUUGAGGAUUUUCACAUUGAUGUUCAUCAGGGAUAUUGGCCUGAAAUUUUCCUUUUUUGUUGUGUCUCUGCCAGGUUUUGGUAUCAGGAUGAUGCUGGCCUCAUAAAAUGAGUUAGGGAGGAGUCCCUAUUUUUCUAUUGUUUGGAAUAGUUUCAGAAGGUAUGGUACCAGUUCCUCUUUGUACCUCUGGUAGAAUUCGCCUGUGAAUCCAUCUGCUCCUGGG
rnacentral:lncRNA from 1 species